rnacentral:rRNA from 1 species
GUUAGCGCAUGAACCUUCGGGGGAUUAUGCUAACGGACAGCGGCGGACGGGUGAGUAACGCGUAGGCAACCUGCCCCUGACAGAGGGAUAGCCAUUGGAAACGAUGAUUAAAACCUCAUGACACCGUAGAAGCACAUGCUUCAUCGGUCAAAGAUUUAUCGGUCAGGGAUGGGCCUGCGUCUGAUUAACUAGUUGGUGAGGUAACGGCUCACCAAGGUGACGAUCAGUAGCCGACCUGAGAGGGUGAUCGGCCACAUUGGAACUGAGACACGGUCCAAACUUCUACGGAAGGCAGCAGUAGGGAGUCUUGCACAAUGGGCGAAAGCCUGAUGCAGCAACGCCGCGUGAAGGAUGAAGGCCUUCGGGUUGUAAACUUCUGUUCUAAGGGAAGAAACAAAUGACGGUACCUUAGGAGCAAGCCCCGGCUAACUACGUGCCAGCAGCCGCGGUAAUACGUAGGGGGCAAGCGUUAUCCGGAAUUAUUGGGCGUAAAGAGUGCGUAGGUGGUUACCUAAGCGCAAGGUUUAAUUUAGAGGCUCAACCUCUACUUGCCUUGCGAACUGGGCUACUUGAGUGCAGGAGGGGAAAGCGGAAUUCCUAGUGUAGCGGUGAAAUGCGUAGAUAUUAGGAGGAACACCAGCGGCGAAGGCGGCUUUCUGGACUGUAACUGACACUGAGGCACGAAAGCGUGGGUAGCAAACAGGAUUAG